GGAUCCAGACUUUGAUUCUGGCUCAGGACGAACGCUGGCGGCGUGCUUAACACAUGCAAGUCGAACGAGAAUCUGUGGAUCGAGGAUUCGUCCAAGUGAAGCAGAGGACAGUGGCGGACGGGUGAGUAACGCGUGAGGAACCUGCCUUUCAGAGGGGGACAACAGUUGGAAACGACUGCUAAUACCGCAUGAUACGUUUUGGGGGCAUCCCUGAGACGUCAAAGAUUUAUCGCUGAAAGAUGGCCUCGCGUCUGAUUAGCUAGUUGGUGAGGUAACGGCCCACCAAGGCGACGAUCAGUAGCCGGACUGAGAGGUUGACCGGCCACAUUGGGACUGAGAUACGGCCCAGACUCCUACGGGAGGCAGCAGUGGGGAAUAUUGGGCAAUGGGCGCAAGCCUGACCCAGCAACGCCGCGUGAAGGAAGAAGGCUUUCGGGUUGUAAACUUCUUUUAAGAGGGAAGAGCAGAAGACUGUACCUCUAGAAUAAGCCACGGCUAACUACGUGCCAGCAGCCGCGGUAAUACGUAGGUGGCAAGCGUUGUCCGGAUUUACUGGGUGUAAAGGGCGUGCAGCCGGGAAUGCAAGUCAGAUGUGAAAUCCAUGGGCUUAACCCAUGAACUGCAUUUGAAACUGUAUUUCUUGAGUACUGGAGAGGCAAUCGGAAUUCCUAGUGUAGCGGUGAAAUGCGUAGAUAUUAGGAGGAACACCAGUGGCGAAGGCGGAUUGCUGGACAGCAACUGACGGUGAGGCGCGAAAGUGUGGGGAGCAAACAGGAUUAGAUACCCUGGUAGUCCACACUGUAAACGAUGAAUACUAGGUGUGCGGGGACUGACCCCCUGCGUGCCGCAGUUAACACAAUAAGUAUUCCACCUGGGGAGUAUGAUCGCAAGGUUGCAACUCAAAUGAAUUGACGG
rnacentral:rRNA from 1 species